rnacentral:rRNA from 1 species
UACGAAGGGGGCUAGCGUUGUUCGGAAUUACUGGGCGUAAAGCGAACGUAGGCGGUGUUCCAUGUCAGAGGUGAAAGCCUGGGGCUCAACUCCAGAACUGCCUUUGAUACUGAAGAUCUUGAGUUCGGGAGAGGUGAGUGGAACUGCGAGUGUAGAGGUGAAAUUCGUAGAUAUUCGCAAGAACACCAGUGGCGAAGGCGGACUCGCUGGCCCGAUACUGACGCUGAGGCACGAAAGCGUGGGGAGCAACAGGG